rnacentral:rRNA from 1 species
AUGAAGUUACCAAAAGCAAUGGGAGGCAUGGGAUUUAGAGACAUGCGUGCUUCCAACCAAGCUUUGCUGGCUAAGCAAGCAUGGCAGUUGUUAGAUACCCGGGAGAGCUUGUGUGCUCGGUUGCUCCUAGCUAAAUACUUCCCUCAUGGAAAUUUAUUGGACACUGUUUUUCCUUCUAGUUCCUCGGCGGUGUGGAAGGGGAUCAUGCAUGUGCUAGCACUAUUAAAGCAGGGGAUAGUUUGGCGUGUGAGUAAUGGUACUUUGAUCAAAACAUGGAGAGAUGCUUGGAUCCCGCGGGGUCAUAACUUCAGGCCGAUUACCCCUAAAGGAAAUUGCAGAUUCAAUUGGGUGGCCGAUUUCAUCAAUGAGCAUGGUGCAUGGAAUGUACAGAGGCUCCAUGAACAUUUUUGGGACAUGGAUGUCCGUGAAAUUCUGAAGAUUCGCACAUCUCCAAAGAAUGGACAGGACUUCCUAGCCUGGUUUCCGGAGAGGAGUGGCCAGUUUACUGUAAGGAGUGCAUACCAUUUGGACUCUGAAAAUCAGGGCGACACCGCGGCGUUGGGUGCUUCCAGCAAUAAUCCUUCAGGUCGAAGGCCUAUAUGGCAGCGCAUCUGGACUGCCCAAGUACCCCUCGAAAUGAAGAUCAUGGCCUGGAAGGCUGUUUCGGGUGCUCUAGCGACGAAUUCUUGCAAGAAGUUUCGCCAUAUAUCUACUCGGGACACUUGCCCUUUGUGUGGUCGUGAAAAGGAAACUAGUUUCCAUGCCCUGGUUGCAUGCAAGCAUGCACGUACUCUCUGGGCAAAGAUGAGCACCAUCUGGCCUUUGCCGAAUCAGGAUAUGCUCAUGGAUACAGGGAGGGACUGGUUACUUAAUAUCCUCGCAAACUGUACGGAUUUGAUGAGGGAUUGUGUGAUAAUGCUAGUAUGGAGGAUUUGGUCAUUAAGAUCAGACUUAACCCAUGGGAUGGAGGUUCCAAGUAUAACUGUCACGGCUGAUUACCUCCAAAGUUAUUUGCGCUCCUUGAGGCUGGCCCGAACAUACACUACUGAAGAAAUAAUCAAAGGUAAGAUGCCUGCAAUGGAGACUGUUGCUGCUGUUACACACCGGGAAGUUGUUAGUACACCGUGGCCGCCACCACCUGCUGAUCGGGUUGCGUUGUCUGUCGACGGAGCCUUUUCCCAAGCGGAUGGGUCAGUGGUAGCAGGGAUGGUAUUAAGGAGACAUGAUGGGCCUGUCAUCUUUGCGGCAUACCGGUAUUUGUUCAACUGUAACGAUGCAUUGGAGGCCGAGUUACAUGCAAUAAUGCAGGAUAUGGCAUUAGCUAUUCAACAUUGCAAUUUGCCCAUCAUUGUCCAAUCAGACUCCUCGGUGGCCAUCUCCUCGAUGAUUGGUGAAGGACUGUCAAGAUCGACGUAUGGUCAUCUGGUGAACGAGAUUAAACAUCUCAUGGUAGAUAGAGAGUUUGUUCCUUUAAAAAUUAAGCGUGAACAAAAUAGGGUAGCAGAUCAUUUGCAUGCUACAGUCGUACAGAGAGUACUACUGCUGUAUGGCUGGGGAGAGGCCCACCGUGUGUGGAGGACCUUUUGCCUCUGGAUUGUAACCCUAUGCAUAUUUAACAAAACUCUUUUAGCC